rnacentral:rRNA from 1 species
UACGUAGGGUCCGAGCGUUGUCCGGAAUUAUUGGGCGUAAAGGGCUCGUAGGCGGUCUGUUGCGUCGGGAGUGAAAACUUACAGCUUAACUGUGAGCGUGCUUCCGAUACGGGCAGACUUGAGGUAUUCAGGGGAGAACGGAAUUCCUGGUGUAGCGGUGAAAUGCGCAGAUAUCAGGAGGAACACCGGUGGCGAAGGCGGUUCUCUGGGCCAUACCUGACGCUGAGACGCGAAAGCGUGGGGAGCAAACAGG